UACGUAGGGUGCAAGCGUUGUCCGGAAUUAUUGGGCGUAAAGAGCUCGUAGGCGGUUUGUCGCGUCUGCUGUGAAAACUCGGGGCUUAACUCCGGGCCUGCAGUGGGUACGGGCAGACUAGAGUGCGGUAGGGGAGACUGGAAUUCCUGGUGUAGCGGUGAAAUGCGCAGAUAUCAGGAGGAACACCUGUGGCGAAAGCGGCUCACUGGACCACAACUGACGCUGAGGCGCGAAAGCUAGGGGAGCAAACAGG
rnacentral:rRNA from 1 species